rnacentral:misc_RNA from 1 species
UUUCCGUAGGUGAACCUGCGGAAGGAUCAUUACCGAACCGUCGACACGAGUUGUUGCUGGCCCCUCUGACGGGGGGCAUGUGCACGCUCUGUUUACACAUCCACUCACACCUGUGCACCCUCUGUGGUUCUAUGGCUCGAGGGGCCUUGUCCCUUAGCCGUGGUUCUACGUUUUUAUAUGCACCCUGUAGUAAAGUCUUAUGGAAUGUGUGCCGCGUUUAACGCAAUGAAAUACAACUUUCAGCAACGGAUCUCUUGGCUCUCGCAUCGAUGAAGAACGCAGC